UACAGAUGCGCAAUGGGCUUGCCACUUUGCUUUUAUUCUCCGUAGUAAAAACACACCACGACAUUGAUGACAUCAUAGAUCUAGUCGUGUAUGGCGGAUCUGCGGUGCUCUCCCUGAUCCUCCUCAUGGGCGUCCAGAGCGGCAGCAAGAAGUUGGUGAACCUAUUCGUACUUGGUGCGAUGCUACGAGUAUUGAGCUUUUGCCUCCAGAUUGGAUACUUAACGUUUCAGGCA